AGUGAACGCUGGCGGCGUGCUUAACACAUGCAAGUCGAACGAGAACGGGUUAUAGCUUGCUAUAAUUGUCAGCUAAGUGGCGCACGGGUGAGUAAUGUAUAGGUAAUAUGCCUCUUACUAAGGGAUAACAAGUGGAAACGUUUGCUAAUACCUUAUACUCCUUAUUAACAGAAGUUAAUAAGGGAAAGAUUUAUUGGUAAGAGAUUAGCCUGUAUUGUAUCAGUUAGUUGGUGGGGUAAUGGCUUACCAAGACUAUGACACAUAACUGGUUUGAGAGGAUGAUCAGUCACACUGGAACUGAGACACGGUCCAGACUCCUACGGGAGGCAGCAGUGGGGAAUAUUGCACAGUGGACGAAAGUCUGAUGCAGCAACGCCGCGUGGAGGAUGACACAUUUCGGUGCGUAAACUCCUUUUAUAUGAGAAGAUAUUGACGGUAUUAUAUGAAUAAGCACCGGCUAACUCCGUGCCAGCCGCCGCAGUAAGAC
rnacentral:rRNA from 1 species